GGAGGGAAGUGUUGGUUAUUGUCGUGGUAUUGAGAUAGAUGUGAGUAGAGACAGCGAUAGGAUCAGCGGUGGAGUCGGUGGCAGGACAAGUGGGGGAGAAGAGAAAGUUGACAGUGUAGAGGCAGGUGAUGAGGGAGAUGAAGAAGAAGAAGAUGCUGUAGCGGGAGAGGAGGGAUCUGGGGGAGGUCUUGGCGAUGACGCUCCUUUGCUCUGGACCAACGGCAGC
rnacentral:misc_RNA from 1 species